GACGAACGCUGGCGGCGUGCUUAACACAUGCAAGUCGAACGGAAAGGCCCUGCUUUUGUGGUGUGCUCGAGUGGCGAACGUGUGAGUAACACGUGAGUAACCUGCCCUUGACUUUGGGAUAACUUCAGGAAACUGGGGCUAAUACCGGAUAGGAGCUCCUGCUGCAUGGUGGGGGUUGGAAAGUUUCGGCGGUUGGGGAUGGACUCGCGGCUUAUCAGCUUGUUGGUGGGGUAGUGGCUUACCAAGGCUUUGACGGGUAGCCGGCCUGAGAGGGUGACCGGCCACAUUGGGACUGAGAUACGGCCCAGACUCCUACGGGAGGCAGCAGUGGGGAAUAUUGCACAAUGGGCGGAAGACUGAUGCAGCAACGCCGCGUGCGGGAUGACGGCCUUCGGGUUGUAAACCGCUUUCGCCUGUGACGAAGCGUGAGUGACGGUAAUGGGUAAAGAAGCACCGGCUAACUAAGUG
rnacentral:rRNA from 1 species